CACGCCGUAAACGAUGUACGCUAGAUCGGUGCGGGUUUGACCCCGUAUCGGUCGACGUGAAAACGAUAAGCGUACCGCCUGGGGAGUACGGUCGCAAGGCUAAAACUCAAAUGAAUUGACGGGGGCUCACACAAGCGGUGGAGCAUGUUGCUUAAUUCGAGGCAACGCGAAGAACCUUACCUGGGCUUGACAUGGCCGGAUUAAACCAGUGAAAGCUGGUGUAGGCCCGCAAGGGUACAACGGUCACAGGUGC
rnacentral:rRNA from 1 species